ensembl:lncRNA
ACCCCCACCUGAAAUACGGUCCCACCUGGAGGGUCUACGGGAAAGGAAUUGUGAAAAUUCAGCCCGAGCCUCCGGGCGGCUCCAACCCGUGGCGGCCUCCUUCAAGAAGGACAGAUGAUCCCGAGAGGUCUGAGUCACUGACAUCCACAGACUUGCCUGCGUCUUCCCCUCCGCCCCGCUGCUCACCUCAGCAUGGAAUGCGCUGGAAUGCUCUUCGGUUCUCCCGGCUACCAACCCAGGAUAUGAAUCAACUCGCCCUCCUCGCAGCCACACACACACACACACACACCAGGACGGGCGCGAGGGCGCGUGUGCACGCCGGCGAGCAGAUAUAGGAAAUAGCUCGGGAGAGAGUCACGCUGCGCAUGAGGACAAUGUUUGGAGUAAGGAGGAAAUAUGUGGUGGAACGGUUGAAGUGAGCUUGCUUGUGCAGGCAGUGGAAAUAGAGGCGCAUGCACGCUGAGCAUGCUGGGAAACACAUCGAGGUGUGAGGAUGUUGACGGAUGGAGGCUGAUGGUGCUGAAUGCAGUUACACCGCUUUGCUGCACUGCGUUUACAAAAUGUUCUUUGUGUGAUUCCAAGAUAAUUGUAACACACAUUUAACCGGGAUGGUUUCUGUUAAUUAAUCCCUUACUAGCAGUGCUCUCUCUCUGCCUUCCCAAAAAUAACUAAAAGUGAAUUUGAAUGGUCCACAUGGUCUCCAACUGUGUCGCCGCUGUCAUCUUCUCGUUGGGAACUUCAGCCAACCCAAAGGCGGUCUCCGCGCUGAUGGGAGUGGGUGGUACAUUUUCACAACGUUCUCCUGCUUCCCAUAGGAUUUAUUGGCCCGACCGACACAAACUGACAGUCUUAGUUUAAGAAGAUCUCCGUCUUCUAUUUACCCAAAGGCCACAUACCAUGGUGUGCAUGUACAAUGUGUGUGUGUGUGUGUGUGUGUGUGUGUGUGUGUGUGUCCCAACGCUGCGCUAAAAGGGGUCUCGGCCAGACUAAUGUUAUCUAAACUUCCCUAAUAAUCACUUUGUUUACAAUGGGCAGGGCCUAGAUAAGAUCUCCUCAGUGAAGACAUUAGCACCCAUCGGUGCCCAUCGCAUUCCUAAAUUCUUUGUAUAAGCUAGGAAUGCUGCCUCUGAAGCUUCCCCUGGAGGUAACACCUCAUUCUUCCGGCCCCCGGGCUGGAGAUCUAUGCGCACCAGCUUUCCAUCCACUUACACAGGAGCUGCUCCGGUUUGAAAAGAUACAUUUUACGCGCAAAUGGGUUUUCUGCAGAAGGGGGAAGCAAACACGAUGGUCGUGAAACACGUCGCACAGGAGGCACCGCGGGACGAAGCCUCCACCAACUGAGCCCGAGCACCCCGAAAGGUCAAAGGUCAAGCUACUGAUUUGCCCGCAACCGCACUCCCCGCACGGAGCCCUCGCUGCUCGCCACGCUCCAGAGGGAGGGCGCUGAACAUGUGACCCGGCAGCCCCGUCCGCCACCGCGGGGGGGGUAAAUGCACAACGAGCACAUGGGAGGCGGCGCCCCCCCCCCCUCCCCUCCCCGACACUUUCUCCGCGACGCCCCUUUUCUGCAUGAAAGCUCCCACUUCUCUGAAUCAGUUUGGAACAAAUCUUUCCACGUCCCUUUGCCCUCUGUACCUUCUUUUCCACUCACCUUGCCUUUCUUACCCCCCCCCCCCUCCUCUUCAACCCCUUUUUUGUCCUCCCCCCUCUCUCCCUCUGGCUGGUGGAAUCCCAUCCCCGUCCACCUAAGUGUCACUGAAGAAUGUUCCAUCAUUUAAACAGCGGCGAAUGCUCCGCUAAUAUAUAACCAAUUACACCGGUCACAUUUCCUGUGUCUCCUUUGAGCUCUCGGCAGGCUCAAAGUGCCAAUCAGGCCCGGAAUGCCAGAACAUGGCUCUUAUUUGCCAGGGGUCAGCGCACCAGUAACCUCACAUUCUAAAGGACCAUUGUUCCCAUGGCCAGAAAACUCGGCGAGGCACACAUACACAUCCAGGGUGAAAGACACACGCGCAAACCCCCGGGCCCCCGAAGGCCCCACAUUGAGGGCCCGCUCUGUUUAAACAGCAUCCGCCCGCACAGCCACCCGCAAUGAAAGGGAUUAAACAGAGUGUGUGUGCGUAUAGGUGUACGUACUGUACUGUGCAACAACAAAAAGUGUCCAUGUUGAUAGAUUUGUUUCAUCCAGUGAAAAGGAGCGCCGUCGACUUUCCACAUGCACAUGAAAUAAAAAACUUGCAUUGCUAAAGUUAUCUGAAAAAAAUGUGAUAAUUUACAGCAAAGGGAAUUCAGACUUUUAAGUGCAAAAUAGCGGCUUCCAAGUAGCAAGCUUGUGCGUGUGCGUGUUGGUCUGUGUGAGUGUGGGAGCCUGAGAGAGCGUCUGGCCGACUGCAGGUGCUCAGACCGAGCGAGGACAUUUAAUGAGCUUCCACAUUCUGUCCGUUUCCUCGCAGGAGCUGGAACAUAAAGAAAAGUCGACUUACUGCGAACGAGAGAAGAGACGCAACACUCUCGCCGCUGCCUACGUCACACGUUAAUACCGUCCGCGCCGGCGUUUCCUCCACUCAGCUGCUAAAUAGUCCCACGGAAAUGGGAGCCUUUUAACUACAAGUGGCUGCAGUUAAUGUAUACUAAGCAUAUGGACAUCGACGUGUUACACCCACAUGGGUAUUAAUAUGCUAACAGCAUCCAUUAUUCUGAGUUUAUUGACCUUUCCUUGUGCAAGUAUGGGGUAGGAAGUGUGUGAAUAAUUCUCUGGAUUCUGACCACGUAUGCCUCGUAUUCACUGCGCGGUCCGGCUCGACUCAACUCACCUUUUGGUAUUUUCUCUACUUUGUUGUCCCCUCGAGAAAGUAAAAGGGGUUCUCAACUGUGUCAUUGUCAACGCCACAUUUAGUUAAUCAUUGCAAAGCGUUUUAAUUGCCCGGCGUAACGAGGCCCUCAGCUGCGAACUCCACCUUCGAUUAUCAGACCAGGUUCGCUUUGAAGGCGGAGGAGUUUCCAAAAAGCCGGCUUCACAUUGCUUCACAUUGCUCUACAUUGUUUCGCGUUGCUCUACAUUGCUUCACAUUGCUUCACCUUGCUUCAUAUUGCUCUACAUUGUUUCACUUUGCUCUACAUUGCUUUACAUUGCUUCACACUGCUCUAUAUUGUUUCACGUUGCUCUACAUUGUUUCACGUUGCUCUACAUUGCUUUACGUUGCUCUACAUUGCUUCACGUUGCUCUACAUUGUUUAGCGUUGCUCUACAUUGCUUCACGUUGCUCUACAUUGCUUCACGUUGCUCUACAUUGCGUGUAUUUUUUCUGUCCAUGAGACUCACUGAGCACCUUCUACACGGGGAGAACCUUCUAACAUGUUGCUGGAGAAGAAGGAGAAACCUGAUUGGCUGCCUCGCUGUGUUCACCUGCCACAUCCAGAACAAUCGGAUUCCUCACCUCCGUCUUAAGUGUCUCAAUACGAGCACACACACACACACACACUCACACACACACACACACACACACACACACACACACACACACACACACACACACACACACACACACACACACACACACACACACACACACACACAUCCAAAACGCACCCAAACAGUUUCACACAGGUAUGUAGACGUGUUAAGAGAAACCUGACCUACCUGACGGAUCGAAACUACUCCUACGCUCCUCUGUUAACCACCCAAAGUGCUGCGUGGGAAACAAUGCUUUGGCAAUACCAGCUAAUUCCUACUCAAAUACCCGAGAUGGAUGGAUGGUUGGAUAGAUAAUGAGUAAACGUUGACACGGCCUGGAAGGGGAGCAGGAGAGAUAGAGGUUCCGUAUUAGCACGAAUGGGUGAGGUAUAGAAAAAGUUUGUCAUUACGGCUGUUCUCAUUUGUUCCCUCUCCUUUGCUUCCCUUGCUUGCCUAUAAGAGACAUCCGAGGCCAAAGGGCAGACAGCCCUUUCAGAGAAACAUGAUUGCAUCCUUGUUGCGAAAGGCCUUUCAUUUAGAAAUAUGUGACUUUCUGCUAGAAAGCCGGAGCGUUCCUUCUUCCAUAACCGCUUUUCUCCGCACCACAAAAAAACAGGGCAGAGAGAGAGAGAGACCUUGUGCCUCUGAAAAAGCCCUUUUCAAGACACUCGUGUUUUCAAGGUCCUGCCUUGAAAGACAGCAGGCUUACAGGCAUAUAAAAAAAACCCCAUCCGGAUCAAACCGUCAUUUAAUAUAUUUGAGUUUUUUCAUUUACGCGGAACUGUAAGGUGUAGCAAUUCCUUCUCCUUAAAGAUCAGCUAAUCUAGAACAUAUAUGUAUAUAUAUAUAUAUUUAUAUGUAUAUUUGCUUGCCUUUAUGAGUCUUAUAAUAUGCACAGGCAAAGUAAAGACUGUGAUGCCCGGUCAGCAGAAAGCUGCGUCAUGCUGCUUUGACCGCGCUCAGCACAGGCUGGUCUGUUGUUUUGGCCUCGAGUACUUGGAGGUUAUGUAGCUUGGGUCAACACCACGUGCGUGUGACCAGCGUACCGCCGGGUGAUGUCACAUGGCUCGCCAAAGUCCGCUUUGAUGUCAGCAAUUAGACGGUUCAAACUUCUCAGCUCGCCACGAAUGUCAGAGCCCGCUGUUUACGGGCUAAUGGGUUGCUAGGUUACCCAGCGGAAAACACUCGAUGUCUGGAUCCUUAUCACCGCGCCGCUAAUCAAAUCGGCUCAUGCUCACGUCACAUGAGGAGCUUUACAAAUGAUAUUAUCC